rnacentral:rRNA from 1 species
CGGCGAGUGAAGCGGUAACAGCUCAAAUUUGAAAUCUGGCCUCACGGUCCGAGUUGUAAUUUGUAGAGGAUGCUUCGAGCAUGGUCUGGCCUAAGUUCCUUGGAACAGGACGUCAUAGAGGGUGAGAAUCCCGUAUGCGGCCAGGUGCCUACGCUCAUGUGAAGCUCCUUCGACGAGUCGAGUUGUUUGGGAAUGCAGCUCAAAAUGGGUGGUAAAUUUCAUCUAAAGCUAAAUAUUGGCCAGAGACCGAUAGCGCACAAGUAGAGUGAUCGAAAGAUGAAAAGCACUUUGGAAAGAGAGUUAAACAGUACGUGAAAUUGUUGAAAGGGAAGCGCUUGCAACCAGACUUGCGCGCGGCCGAUCAUCCGGUGUUCUCACCGGUGCACUCGGCCGUGCUCAGGCCAGCAUCGGUUUUGGCGGCUGGACAAAGGCCCUAGGAAUGUAGCUCCUCUCGGGGAGUGUUAUAGCCUAGGGUGCAAUGCAGCCUGCUGG